rnacentral:rRNA from 1 species
CGAAGGGUGCAAACGUUGCUCGGAAUUAUUGGGCGUAAAGCGCACGUAGGCGGCAUUGCAAGUCGGAUGUGAAAUCCCUCGGCUUAACCAAGGAAGUGCAUCCGAAACUGCAGUGCUUGAGUACUUAAGAGGAUCGCGGAAUUCCCGGUGUAGAGGUGAAAUUCGUAGAUAUCGGGAGGAACACCAGUGGCGAAGGCGGCGAUCUGGGAAGAUACUGACGCUGAGGUGCGAAAGUGUGGGGAGCAAACAGGAUUAGAUACCCUGGUAGUCCACACCGUAAACGAUGGAUACUAGGUGUCGGGGACUUGAUCUUCGGUGCCGUAGCUAACGCGUUAAGUAUCCCGCCUGGGGAGUACGGUCGCAAGGCUG